UACGUAGGGGGCAAGCGUUGUUCGGAAUUACUGGGCGUAAAGGGCGCGUAGGCGGCCAGCACAAGUCAGUUGUGAAAUCUCCGAGCUUAACUCGGAAAGGUCAACUGAUACUGUGCGGCUAGAGUGCGGAAGGGGCAACUGGAAUUCUUGGUGUAGCGGUGAAAUGCGUAGAUAUCAAGAGGAACACCUGCGGCGAAGGCGGGUUGCUGGGCCGACACUGACGCUGAGGCGCGAAAGCCAGGGGAGCGAACGGG
rnacentral:rRNA from 1 species